UACUCCUACGGGAGGCAGCAGUGGGGAAUAUUGGACAAUGGGGGCAACCCUGAUCCAGCAAUGCCGCGUGUGUGAAGAAGGCCUUCGGGUUGUAAAGCACUUUCGGUGGGGACAAACAAGACGGAGCUAACAUCUCCGUCCCUGAUGGUACCCAAAGAAGAAGCACCGGCUAACUCUGUGCCAGCAGCCGCGGUAAUACAGAGGGUGCAAGCGUUAAUCGGAAUUACUGGGCGUAAAGCGUGCGUAGGUGGUUUGUUAAGUCAGGUGUGAAAUCCUCGGGCUCAACCCGGGAACUGCGCUUGAUACUGACAGACUCGAGUGUGGUAGAGGAUAGUGGAAUUCCCGGUGUAGCGGUGAAAUGCGUAGAUAUCGGGAGGAACAUCAGUGGCGAAGGCGGCUAUCUGGACCAACACUGACACUGAGGUASRAAAGCGUGGGUAGCAAACAGGAUUAGAUACCCUGGUAGUCCACGCCCUAAACGAUGGGUACUAGACGUCGGGAAGCUUGUCUUCUUGGUGUCGCGGCUAACGCAAUAAGUACCCCGCCUGGGGAGUACGGUCGCAAGAUUAAAACUCAAAUGAAUUGACG
rnacentral:rRNA from 1 species